AUGCAAAGCCGUUCUGAAGCAGAGCCCCCUCGUGGGGCUUCCUCUCACAGCUCGGUUCUUCUUUGGGUCCUGCCCAUCCCCGCUGGCCUCAGGAGUGGUUUCUGCCUUCAGCCCAGAGCGUUCCAGAGCCGGGGUCUCUGGGACGCGGCAGAGGAAAGCAGUCAUCUCCUUACCCAUAAGCCACCUCCCUCCACACAGCCUGCUGGGAAGCGUGAUACAGCCUCCGGGGACCUGACAUUGGCCUGGGGAGAAAUGCCACUCGCACGUUACAGGGUUGGCACCGACAGCACCCACUCUUGAAGGGGCAGAGUGGACCAGAGUGCAUUCCAUGCAGAAUUGUUCAAUAUUAGGCUCCAUGCGUGAGCCCUCAGGGCUGUCUUCCGCUUUGUGACGCCUGUGCGCACGGCAGUAAUAAAAUCAUUUUAUAGAUGAAGCCGUUGGGACUU
rnacentral:lncRNA from 1 species